rnacentral:rRNA from 1 species
UACAGAGGUGGCAAGCGUUGUUCGGAAUUACUGGGCGUAAAGGGCGCGUAGGCGGCCUUCUAAGUCAGACGUGAAAUCCCCAGGCUUAACUUGGGAACUGCGUCUGAUACUGGAUGGCUAGAGGUUGGGAGAGGGGUGCGGAAUUCCAGGUGUAGCGGUGAAAUGCGUAGAUAUCUGGAGGAACACCGGUGGCGAAGGCGGCAUCCUGGACCAAUUCUGACGCUGAGGAGCGAAAGCCAGGGGAGCAAACGGG